rnacentral:rRNA from 1 species
AACGAACGCUGGCGGCAUGCCUAACACAUGCAAGUCGAACGAAGCCUUCGGGCUUAGUGGCGCACGGGUGCGUAACGCGUGGGAAUCUGCCCCUCGGUUCGGAAUAACUCAGGGGAACUUGAGCUAAUACCGGAUGAUGACGAAAGUCCAAAGAUUUAUCACCGAGGGAUGAGCCCGCGUAGGAUUAGCUAGUUGGUGGG